rnacentral:rRNA from 1 species
GUUGAACGCUGGCGGCAUGCCUAACACAUGCAAGUCGAACGGGGUGUAGCAAUACAUCUAGUGGCGGACGGGUGAGGAAUACAUAGGAAUUUGCCCUUAAGUGGGGGAUAGUCCGGGGAAACUCGGUUUAAUACCGCAUGAUCUCGUGAGAGCAAAGCAGGGGACCGCAAGGCCUUGCGCUUUUGGAGAAGCCUAUGUCGGAUUAGCUAGUUGGUAGGGUAAUGGCCUACCAAGGCGACGAUCCGUAACUGGUCUGAGAGGAUGAUCAGUCACACCGGAACUGAGACACGGUCCGGACUCCUACGGGAGGCAGCAGUGGGGAAUAUUGGACAAUGGGCGCAAGCCUGAUCCAGCAAUGCCGCGUGUGUGAAGAAGGCCUU